UUCACAACCUAACCUACACCCUAACACACCCCUCUCUUUCUCUCUCUCCCUCUCUCCCUCUUAACCUUCUUCGCCGCACUUCUUACGCAGUCUCCGAUUCCAAUUCCCCGACCUCCAAUUCUCCAAUGGCCACCGACACACAGAAGCCCAGCGACCCCAUCACCACCUUAGAAGCCCCAAAGAAAACCCUAGAAUCCUCCCCGGCCCCACCCACCGCCACAAUUUCAGAUCGACCCGAUAAUCCGUCCGCUGACACUCCCUCCGAUCCACCUCCGUCGUCCGAGGUUGACUCCAAAGUAAACGGGUCUAAGGCUGACUCUGAGGAUCCCAAGACUGACUCUGCCACCGGUGACGCGGCUGCUCCGGCUACCGCCAUUGAGAAGAAGAUGCGCCGUGCCGAGCGGUUUGGGAUAUCCGUGCAGCUCACAGAAAAAGAGAAACGCAACUCUCGCGCUGAGAGGUUUGGUACUGUUUCUACAUCACACGGAUCCGAAGCAUCUAAAAAAUCAGAGGACUUGAAGAGGAAGGCUAGAGCAGAGAGGUUUGGGCUUCCUGGCCCUGCUGUGGUGGGUGAUGAGGAUGCAAAGAAGAAGGCUCGUCUUGCUCGGUUUGCUCCUAAUGCCAAACCAGAUGCUAAAACUGAUCCUCAGGAAGAAGAAAAAAGAAAGGCGAGGGCUCUCAGGUUUUCAAACACCUCAAAAGGUUCUCUUACUCAAGUGAAUGAUAAGGGUAAUGUUGAGCAGAAGGCAGCCAUAGCAGGCAGCGCCGGUGGAGAGGUUUGAAGAAAAGCUUCAUUUCUUAGUAGUAAGUUAAAUUUAUGAAAUUUGGGAGAUAGGUAUAGGAUUCUAACAUUUUGUGGUUCCCUCAGAGGCAUCCGUACCCGUAGAUAUCUCUGAUUGCAUGGAUUAUCAGGUGGAGUAUUUUUCAAAUGGUCAAUAGGUAUCUUCUACAAGUUGCUGAACUCAAUUUGGCGGUGUAGGGGUUAUUUCAUGCUUGGUUUGGGCUCCUUUCUCAGAUUUCCUGGUGAGGCUUUCAAUAAUCAACAAUUACCUACUUAGUGUUAACCUACCCUGCAAUUUUACCAAGAAUGUCAGAAAUUCAGUACUUACAACCUAGGGAAAUUUAGUACUAGAGGAUGCUUUAGUGGCAACUUUUGGGUGGUCACUCAUUCAAUUGAUGCAUGGCACAAAGAUAAUAUCUCGUAAUUGUUUAGCUUGCAUAAGCAUGAUGCAGUGUUGAACAGCAGUAGUAUGAGUUUGGUUUGCUAAGUCUACACCUUCUGAGCUGUUAGUACCUGUGCUGAUAACCAACUUAAUCCAUUAAUGUGGGGUCUAGGUCUUAGUUUUCUAAUCAAUUGGUCCUUGUAAUAUUAGUUAUUGGUGGUCAAAUUAUAAACUUUUGAUGGUGUGUUGAAUGGUAAAAACAUGUUAAUUAAGAAUCAAAAGAGUCGAGCUCAUGCACAGUUGAAGAUGGCUGCAAUAAUGGAGUUUCGUUAGGGUGCUAGAUAUCUAGUUUGUUACAGGACCUGUAUAAUUUUUUGACUUGUGUGCUAGCUUAAGUGAAGUGGUUUUUUUUUAUUUGUUUUUUUUUUUUUUUUUUUUGUCUUCUCACCAUCCUGGUUCCGAUUCUAUUAGUUCAUAUUUCUUAAUGCCACUGGGUCGGAUCAGAUUAGUUGAGGUGUAUAGGCAAAUCCUACCAAGUACUGCUGUCCAACACUGCCAUGAAAAACAUGUAUAAGAAGGAUAUAACUGACCUGAAGCUAACUUUUGUUAGAUGGAAAUCUUAAUAUGUCUUAGUUAUUCAUAUUUGCUGAACAGAGGAUUUCUUGAGAUUGUAGUGUUAGAAUUUCUGAUAUUCUUGGUCGAUGAUUUUGGGGCAAGUAAACAAUUUGGAGGUGGUUGUUGGUUUUCUUAAGCCUUGCUCUGUGAGUUCUGCACUCUACAGGUAGGAUACCAGGAACGGAUUGAACUCGUUAAUACUCCGUCAGUUAUUGCUGUGUAAUUUUUAAAUUUUGCAUAGGUAGGUUCCAUUGGAAAAACAUGUAGAAACAUCCACCUCAUGUGGAAAAUCAUGUUUUGUAUUAAGCAUAUUGUGGACGGAAGGACCUGUUAACUUAAUUUUGGAGGGAAUCAUAAAAUGUUAGUUUACAUUCUUCGUC